rnacentral:rRNA from 1 species
GGGUUGUGAGGUUAAGCGACUAAGCGUACACGGUGGAUGCCCUGGCAGUCAGAGGCGAUGAAGGGCGUGCUAAUCUGCGAUAAGCGCCGGUAAGGUGAUAUGAACCGUUAUAACCGGCGAUACCCGAAUGGGGAAACCCAGUGUGAUUCGUCACACUAUCAUUAACUGAAUCCAUAGGUUAAUGAGGCGAACCGGGGGAACUGAAACAUCUAAGUACCCCGAGGAAAAGAAAUCAACCGAGAUU